GGUUGACCUCGGAUCAGGUA
rnacentral:rRNA from 19 species